UGUACCUCGUUUCUAUAAUUUUAACAGAUGCUAGUGUUAAAACGCGUGGAUAUUCUGUAUCUCGAAAACGAGUCUUUUUCGUGGAUGACUAUUCUCGAAAAGUGUUGUCUUGUAUGUACUGCCCUCUAGCGAACAUUUAUACAUCUGUCUCAUUUUAUCACACAGCAUGAAACGAGGAAGACUGUGCACAAGAAUCGGCAGACAUCGUCUUCAUUUUAGAACAGAAAGACAUUUCGAGACAGGAUGAGAUUAAGAAAACAUCCAUCUAUCUUAACCAGUUAUGAUGAUGCAUCAAGACCACACAAACUGGCACUGAAGAACAGUUUUAUCGUUACCAUGUGAAGAAAGGUUCAAUUAUCCAAGCCUUUUGUUGAACUGCUGAUGUUCAGAGGAAACAAAGAGUUUAACAGAGAUGAUUAAGCUUUUCAAAUGAUAACUCACUGAAAUUGAAUGACCAGGCCUCUGCUGGAUAAAGAGAUGAGAUGGAGCUAAGGAAGAAAAAGCACUAUGGAACAAAUUAUGGGCAAGAGUGCUAUGUUGGAUUGGGAGAAUUGGAAGUUUUUCAACACCAAUGUCCAUGAACCAGUGAGACCAGUUGUAUCUCUGUAGUCUUCAUGAAUCUUCACAACAUUGGCAUCGGGAAGGGCUAAAAGGAGGAGGAGGAGGUCCCACGUAAGUGAGAGUCCAUUUGGAAAAUUUUCUGGUGGAACUGAAAUGACUAAACGGUUUCAAGCACAGGGUUUUGGAAAGCUAUCUUUAAAGUUGGAAGGAGAACACCGGCAAAAGACGAGGUGUACGAUUCUGACCAAAAGAGUAACGGACUUUCAAAUGGGGGAAGAUGAUUUAAAUGUCAAAUUAUAUAAUAAAUUAUGUGAAAAAGACCUUCCUUGCGUUUUAAUUCCAAAGGCAUCUUUCUUCUAAACUUGUUUAAAGUAACCUAGGAUGAUUAUGGUUAUUGGAGGCUUUGUAUAUAGUACAGAAUUUAGAACGAAGUUACUGUAUACGAAUUAAAGGGCAUGGUAUUAGAUUUUCAGUGAGGACGCAUGUGAAAGUAAGGGUAUUUUGUGAAGGAUUUUUAAACCAAAAUUGAAGUAUAAUUUCGAGGAAAAUUUA